AGCAGCAGCUUCCUGCCUGUGCUACCCUUGCUUCCCCAUCAGCUCAUGCCUAUGUAUGGCCUUGUCCUUGGCACUGCCACCUUGGACCCUCCCUCCACUCCCAAUUUGCCCCCCCUAGGGCUCGAGGGCCAGUCUUUCUGUGUGACAAACCUUUUUCUUCCAUUCACAAGGUAUUCCUUUCUUUCCCUGAGCCAUGGGAGUCCCAGUCAGGCAAGUGCAGGGACAGGUGGAGGGCCCUAUCCAAAGCACAAGAACCUAUGGCUACCUGUUCCAGUCACACGUGGACUGAGGGGUGACUUGAAGGCAGAGCCUGUGACUUGCCUAUCUCUGGAUCUCCAGGGCCUGGACCAGGCAGAGAGAGAAGAAAUUCAGUGGCUUCCCUGUGGCCUGGAGGAUGUCUGUCCCACUGAAAGAGGACUGCAACACAGAACUCAAACCAAGUGACAGCAAAAGCCUGGGCACAACUCACCCUUCUUCAUGGUCCAGCUUUCACAUCCGUACAUGAUUACUGGAAAAACCAUAGCUUUGACUAUACAGACCUUUGUCAGCAAAGUGAUGUCUCUGCUUUUUAAUAUGC
ensembl:lncRNA